rnacentral:rRNA from 1 species
CCUACGGGUGGCAGCAGUGGGGAAUAUUGGACAAUGGGCGAAAGCCUGAUCCAGCCAUGCCGCGUGUGUGAAGAAGGCCUUCGGGUUGGAAAGCACUUUCAGUGGGGAAGAAAGCCUUGGGGCUAAUACCCUCGAGGAAGGACAUCACCCACAGAAGAAGCACCGGCUAACUCCGUGCCAGCAGCCGCGGUAAUACGGAGGGUGCGAGCGUUAAUCGGAAUUACUGGGCGUAAAGCGCGCGUAGGCGGUCUGAUAAGCCGGUUGUGAAAGCCCCGGGCUCAACCUGGGAACGGCAUCCGGAACUGUCAGGCUAGAGUGCAGGAGAGGAAGGUAGAAUUCCCGGUGUAGCGGUGAAAUGCGUAGAGAUCGGGAGGAAUACCAGUGGCGAAGGCGGCCUUCUGGACUGACACUGACGCUGAGGUGCGAAAGCGUGGGUAGCAAACAGGAUUAGAUACCCGAGUAGUC